rnacentral:rRNA from 1 species
GACGAACGCUGGCGGCGUGCUUAACACAUGCAAGUCGAACGGAAAGGCCCUGCUUGCCGGGUACUCGAGUGGCGAACGGGUGAGUAACACGUGGGUGAUCUGCCCUGCACUUCGGGAUAAGCCUGGGAAACUGGGUCUAAUACCGGAUAGGAGCCAUUUUUAGUGUGAUGGUUGGAAAGUUUUUCGGUGUAGGAUUAGCUCGCGGCCUAUCAGCUUGUUGGUGGGGUAAUGGCCUACCAAGGCGGCGACGGGUAGCCGGCCUGAGAGGGUGGACGGCCACAUUGGGACUGAGAUACGGCCCAGACUCCUACGGGAGGCAGCAGUGGGGAAUAUUGCACAAUGGGCGCAAGCCUGAUGCAGCGACGCCGCGUGGGGGAUGACGGCCUUCGGGUUGUAAACUCCUUUCGCUAGGGACGAAGCUUUUUGUGACGGUACCUAGAUAAGAAGCACCGGCUAACUACGUG